rnacentral:rRNA from 1 species
GUGCACGCUGGCGGUAGGCCUAACCCCUGCAAGUCGAACGGCAGCACCGUAAGAGCUUGCUCUUACGGGUGGCGAGUGGCGGACGGGUGAGGAAUACAUCGGAAUCUACUUUUUCGUGGGGGAUAACGUAGGGAAACUUACGCUAAUACCGCAUACGACCUACGGGUGAAAGCAGGGGAUCUUCGGACCUUGCGCGAUUGAAUGAGCCGAUGUCGGAUUAGCUAGUUGGCGGGGCAAAGGCCCACCAAGGCGACGAUCCGUAGCUGGUCUGAGAGGAUGAUCAGCUACACUGGAACUGAGACACGGUCCAGACUCCUACGGGAGGCAGCAGUGGGGAAUAUUGGACAAUGGGCGCAAGCCUGAUCCAGCCAUACCGCGUGGGUGAAGAAGGCCUUCGGGUUGUAAAGCCCUUUUGUUGGGAAAGAAAAGCAGCAGGUUAAUACCCCGCUGUUCUGACGGUACCCAAAGAAUAAGCACCGGCUAACUUCGUG